rnacentral:rRNA from 1 species
GAUGAACGCUGACAGAAUGCUUAACACAUGCAAGUCAACUUGAACUUCGGUUUGGGUGGCGGACGGGUGAGUAACGCGUAAAGAACUUGCCUCACAGAUAGGGACAACAUUUGGAAACGAAUGCUAAUACCUGAUAUUAUGAUUAUAUGGCAUCGUAUAAUUAUGAAAGCUAUAUGCGCUAUGAGAGAGCUUUGCGUCCCAUUAGCUAGUUGGAGAGGUAACGGCUCACCAAGGCGAUGAUGGGUAGCCGGCCUGAGAGGGUGAUCGGCCACAAGGGGACUGAGACACGGCCCUUACUCCUACGGGAGGCAGCAGUGGGGAAUAUUGGACAAUGGACCAAGAGUCUGAUCCAGCAAUUCUGUGUGCACGAUGAAGUUUUUCGGAAUGUAAAGUGCUUUCAGUUGGGAAGAAAAAAAUGACGGUACCAACAGAAGAAGUGACGGCUAAAUACGUG